UUACGAUCAUAUCACGUUGAAACAUCGAUCCCAGUACGAUCGCUGAAGUUAAGCAACGUUGAGCCUGGUCAGUACCUAGAUGGGUGACCGUUUGGGAAUACCAGUUGCUGUAA